GGAUCCGGCCGCCACCGCCCUCCCCCGCGCCGCGCAGGCGCGUGCGCCGCUCUAUCCGCCGGCCUGGAGCACGGCCGGAGGGAGCACGGAGCAGGGGAGAGCCAGGCCGAGCACGGCACACGCCGCCGCCUCCGUCGGCACCCGGGCCUCCGCCAGGACCAUCAAGCCGACCCACGCCGACGCCGGGGUUCAGGAGACCGGGCCGAGCCGCUGUCUCAUCAUCCAGCAGCACGCGGGUGGCUUGUCCCCGUCCCCGCGCUCCUCGUCGCUACCGGCGGAGACAAAGAAGAACACCAAUCGAGCCCUCCGAAGCAACGCACCGGCAACGAAGAAGAAGAAGAAUCGAAUCAGCAGGUUAUGAUACCUGUAACCCAGAUUUACUCGGUAUGGAGGAUGCGUUAGCUACAGCUAAACCUUAGUCAUCUGAUCACCAACCUCUUCUGCCGAAUGAAGGAGCUCGGGCUGUUACCAAUAAAGUAGACAGUGAAGUUCACCCGAACGAUAUUUGGAAUUGAUUAUUUCGAUGUUCCUAAAUUUUCUUAACUCCUUAUUUAUGUUAGCCUUAAUGCUAAACAA